rnacentral:lncRNA from 1 species
UGCAUUGUUUCACACGUACUCAGGUCACUUUCAGCAAACAUAAGAUGACAUCCCAGAAAGAUCUAAAAACCUAACAGGAAGACAGAAAAGUACAGUGGUGCUAAUUCGGAUUAACUAUCCUAAUUGAGCUAGCAGUCCUAAUAUAGAAGAUGUGACAAAACUUUGAUAUUAUCUGUGAACAUCUUCAAGUUUUACUCUAUACAUUUUGAGACAGAGGCACUACAACUGUAGGGGCAAGCACAGCCUCACCUGCCUUAAAUGAAGAUUUUGAAUGUGUCAAACAAAAGGAAGCCAAGAGACUGCUAACCCACAGAGGUAAUAUGAGCAAGAGAAGUGACUUUUCUGCCUUCCCUAGCAGCUGGCACUUGACAUCCUUGGCAUCAUCUAGUUCAUAA